CGUAGUUUGUGGGUCAUUAGGAUUUGUGGGUUCCAAUCCUUUCAUCUAGCUUUUUGAGGUUUAAGGAUUUGUACUGCUUUUUUAAUGGGAGUCAUAGGGUUUGUUCUGUUCCUUCCGCAAAAUGGGUUGUGAUUUGCUGAUGAUGUGAGUGGCUUCGUUUUGUGUAAGAUGAUGAUGAUGAUGAUGGGUUAAUGUAAGAAGAAGCUGAGAAGCCAUGCCUGGAACCAUCUUAUUCAGAGGCGUGUGCGGAUGCCAAGUAUUGUGGGAAUGUUGGAGUUUAUAACAUUUUGAAGGCAAGAGGAGCUAAAGCCCCGGAAACCACGAGGAAGACAACAAGAAGUUUUGGUGCAAAUUUAGACGAAAAUAUUCAACCAAGGAUGGGUUGUUCGAGCAUUUCUUCUAUUAUGAAUAUUAGUUGUUCACCUUCACUGCCAAGGAAACAUGGCUUAAAAAUAAGUUUCAAAUUUAUGGCUGGAACCCCAAAAACAGAACCAAAAUCUAGUUGAACAAAAGCCAUGUCCAAACUCCCUCAGGACAUCAUCAAUGAUAUACUCACCUGCUUACCUUUCAAGUCUCUAAUAUGGUUCAAGUCUGUAUGCAAGCUAUAUGGCGUUCGUCAAUCUCGAAUCCGAAAUUUGUGAAAUCACACCUCAAAAGAGCAAAGGAAGUCAACUCUAGCUGCCAUAGACUUCUCCUCUCAACAGGACCCCGCAAUCUGUCGACUUCGAAGCAGCUAGUGGUGGUGAUGAGGAUAAUGCAGUGCAAGAGCUUGAUUAUACUGAAGCAAUAAAGUGCAGUCCUCCCUUCUUUAUUGGAAUUCUGGGAUCUUUCAAUGGAAUAAUCUGUUCAUUUGUUGACUAUGAAAAGUUGGUCUUGUGGAAUUCAUCUACUAGAGAAUCCAAGGAAUUGGCAAAACCCAGUCUUUGUCUUAGUUAUGUUUCUUUUCUGGACUUGGUUAUGAUUCCUUUAUUGAUGAUUAUAAAUUUGUAACUUCUAGCAGCACGACUGCUAAUGGUUCUGAACAAAUUAUGGUUGAAGUUCUUACACUGAAAACUUAAACAUGGAGAAAAGUUCCUGA